rnacentral:rRNA from 1 species
GAAUAUUGGACAAUGGGCGAAAGCCUGAUCCAGCCAUGACGCGGGUGUGAAGAAGGUCUUCGGAUUGUACAGCACUUUAGGUUGGGCGGAAGGGCAGUAAGCGAAUACCUUGCUGUUUUGACGUUACCGCCAGAAUAAGCCCCGGCUAACUCUGUGCCAGCAGCCGCGGUAAUACAGAGGGUGCAAGCGUUAAUCGGAAUUAAUGGGCGUAAAGCGCGCGUAGGUGGUUCGUUAAGUUGGAUGUGAAAUCCCCGGGCUCAACCUGGGAACUGCAUCCAAAACUGGCGAGCUAGAGUAGGGCAGAGGGUGGUGGAAUUUCCUGUGUAGCGGUGAAAUGCGUAGAUAUAGGAAGGAACACCAGUGGCGAAGGCGGCCACCUGGGCUCAAACUGACACUGAGGUGCGAAAGCAUGGGGAGCAAACAG